AUUCCUGUCUUUUGGAUUGAUUGGUAACAUUCUAGUGCCAACAUCUUUUGAAAUCACAAGUUUGCCUGAUCUCUUUUUUCAAUAACCUCUCUCAGAACUAGGCCAGGAAUCAGCUGCCAUUGUAGUUGAAAGUUUAGCUGAUGCUGUGACACAUGCAGGAUUUUUUGGAACUGAAAGUUGCAGUGAUGUUAUUCUAAUGAAAAUUUUACAUGUCUGGAGAAUGUUGGUUCUUCACCCUGCUGGGAUUCCGCUCUCUAAUGAAGGUGUUUGAUCAUGCAAAGCUGUUUCCGAAUCUGCUUUAAAACAGUCUGUUCUUAUUACUCUUAUGUCGUAGUUGCUUCGAUCCGAUUCCACCGCAAAACGGCUGAGUAUAUAAAUAUU